UGGCUGUAGCUAUAUGAAGUAAGAGAAGAGGGAAGAAAACUGGUCGGCUUGCUCUCCUUAUUGUUGCAAACCCCGCUUACCAAGCUUCCCACAUUA